rnacentral:tRNA from 1 species
GAGAGUAUAGCUCAGUGGUAGAGUGUGUGCCUGGUGUGUACAAAGUCCUGGGUUCAUCCCCGGCACCUCCA